GCUCAGAUAGCUCAGUUGGUAGAGCAAGGGACUGAAAAUCCCUGUGUCACUAGUUCAAUCCUAGUUCUGAGCA
rnacentral:tRNA from 1 species